rnacentral:lncRNA from 1 species
GUGCCAAUGGCACUGUAUGAAGCUGUAUUUCAUAAAGUUACAAUACACUAAUGCACACUUUCGUUCUUUGUGGUCAGAAAGCCUUGAGAACCUCAUUAGAUGCUGCUGAAGAGGGCAUUUGAUCCACAGGUGAACAUGUCCAGUUUGGGAAUGCAAGGUAUUGGAUAAUUUUUUUUUGUUUGAUCUUAAUCAGCAAAUUACCUGAAUUAGCCUUCAUCAAUCUGGUGCACUCCAGAUGUUUUGAACUACGUACAGCUCUUACUGGGCCCCAGUCAGCAUGGCCAAUAGCCAAGAAUGCUUGGGAGUUGUAGUCUUGCAAUACCUGAAAGGCAAUUGGUUGGGAAGACUUGCAAAGAUAGGAACAGCAUAAUUUUAUACAAAUGGAUUAUAUGCAGAUGUUAUACUUUGGCUGUGUAUAUAAGUUUGAAGCAUAUGCGUUACUGUAGCACUGUAGUUUAGUGGUUACUGGCAACUAUGAGGGGUAAACUACAGUGCCCAUAAUUCUUGGGGAGGGGGAAAAUGCGUUUAAAAUGUAUUUUGAAGGUAAAGUGUAUACACAGCCUCCUUCCCAGAGAUAUCUAAAGGAAAAUGUUUUUCUUUAAUCUAUUGAAAGUGCAAACUUCUUAUGGAGCACAUCACUUGUCUCCAACGCAAAAAUAAAGUUCUGCUCCUUGUACUUUACCCUUGGGUGUUGGGGGCACCAGUAUUUUGAACGUACUUGGCCCUUGCUGACCUAGAGACUAUAAAACGUCUAGAAAUGGAGGCACUUCAUCCUGCUGUCAACCCAACGGGGAUAUCUGGAGAGGUUGCUCUCUCUCAGCUCUGUCCAUGUGGCGUAUGGGAGCAUAGGCCUUUGGGCUCUGUGACGUAUAGUCCCCUUCCACACCGUUGGAGAGCAAGCAGGGCCCUCGUGGUCUGCAACCUGCAUAUUCCUACUGCUUCUCUGAGUCUUCGGACAGUGACUGAGGAGAUAAACCAUGCAGGAGACACUCCUCAAGCAAGAGCUUUGCUAAUAGGGUUUUGUUUUCAAUACACUUUUCAAAGACACCACAACAGUUUUCUCCUGAUCAUAAAAAUUACAAUCACUUUUAAAGGAUAUUGUGGGGGGUGGAGGGUAUGGCACGUAUGUGGGAGUGCAGAUUUGUUCAAGGGUUGCCUGUUGUUGUUUUUUCUUGUUGGGCAAAUGCCCUCCGCUUUCAGAGACCCAAUUCUGAAAGAUAACCCUGCUUUUUAUUCCUGGUAGCAGGUAUUCUGCAUUUGCUAUGUCAUGCCGCUAGUUUUAUAUCAUACCUGGGUCCUGAGCAAGGAUGAGGGCUGACUUCUGGAUGUGGUGAGGAUCAGACUUCUUCACAUCAUGGACACUGGAGCUCCACAAGAGUCAACCAGGUAAAAGGGUUGCUUUGUCCUUCCAGAAGAGAGUUUGCUAAUGUCCUGCUGGCCUGCAUUCAACAGUCUUUGUAGUAGCUUGGGAUCAUUAUAUUGGAAGCAGAUAUUAAGCAAGCGUUUUUCCAAUGUGCCAGAUGUUGCUGGGCUACUACUCUCACCAUAAUCUCCCAUCUCAGUAAACACUGGUUUAUUGGCUGAGGCUAAUGGGAGUUGGAGUCCCAACAAAUAUAAGCUACCACCUUGGGGCAUGCUGGUAUAGAGGCUAGUAACUUCUUAUACUGGAGCAGGAACUGGCAAGCCACUCCAGUAUCCCUGCCAAGAAAACUCCAUGGACAAAGACAACAGGCAUAUAAAAGUUGUGCCUGGUGUGCUCUGGUCCAUGGGGUCACGAAGAGUCGGACAUGACUAAACAACAACUUCUUAUACUGUAGAGGCGCUUUGCAAUUCGUCCUGCCUUCAACCAACGGGGAUAUCUGGAGAGGUUGCUCUCUCUCAGCUCUGUCCAUGUGGCGUAUGGGAGCGUAGGCCUUUGGGCUCUGUGACGUAUAGUCCCCUUCCACACCGUUGGAGAGCAAGCUGGGCCCUUGUGGUCUGCAACCUGCAUAUUCCUACUGCUUCUCUGAGUCUUUGGACUGUGACUGAGGAGAUAAACCAUGCAGGAGACAUUGCUUCACUUUGAUAGUAUUUCCUUACUGUAGCUGUUGCUUUGUGUUAGUGUGGUAUUGUUAAAAAGUUGUGUUUAAUCCAGUGCUGCUUAAACCUUUGGGAGUGAGGUCCACUUAUAAAUAUAAUUUGCUUAGGAACAUAGAAAGCUGCCUUAUACUGAGUUAAGACCAUUUGUCCAUCAAACUCAAUGCUGUCUACACUGACUGGCACUGGCUCCCCAUGGAUUCAGGCAGGGGUCAUUACCAACCCUACCUGGAGAUGCCAAGGAUUGAACCUGGAACCUUCUGCAUGCAAAACAGAUCAUCUACCACUGAGCUGUGCCCCUUCUAUUAUUAGUUAUUGAACUUAUAAGUAGCCUGUUGCACAAAGGUUUCCAGGCUGCCUAGCAAUAUUUUAAAGGGCUUAAGUAAAAAAGAGUUAUUAUAAAAUGCCGUGCAAUUCAUAGAAAUCAACCAGAACAUCUUCCUCCCCCCAAUAACAGCAGCAAAAAGCUAUGGUGGCACAAGCAGCUAGGCUUUCUAGUCCUAUCUCCUCUCCUCUCACUGAAAAAGUAAAUAAGACUGUCAAGAUCACUGGGCAAUUGCAUUUUAUAUAUUCCAUCUUUUAAUUAGCGUAUUGGUGUUAGAGUACAUAUUGCUUAUAUAAAUAGAAUUUAAUAUGUAGGGGGUCAGUAACCAAUUUGCUCCAAGAGGAUCCACGACAGAAGUGCUGUGGGCCCAUCAUGAAUUUUCUUUAAAAUCCCUAGAAAGGGGGGUGGGGGGAGAAAUGACACAGACACAUACUCCUUGUGUGACCAGCCCAGGAAUACAUUGGGACUCCCAGUUUGAGAAGCAGCUGUCUUAACUAUUGUACAAUUCUGUUCUUCCCAUUCCAGUACGCUUGAAAGUUCAUUGCAUGCUGUUGGAAUGGCCAUAUAAUCCUGAAAUGGGUAUGUACAGCAGUUUUGACUCUCAAGGUAUUCACGAGAAUAAUUAUUUUUUCCUAUUUGUCUGUUGUGGCCUGUGGUGUGUGUGUCGUUAAGACCACUGUGGGGUGUUGUCUUUAUAAACUCCACUGUGAAAAUAAUGCUGUAUUCUUAGGUUUAGACUAAAAGUGCAUUGAAAUAAAAAAUGCUGUCUUGGUAUAAGUAAUUCUGAAAAGGCAUCAGCUGUGCUGAACUACAGUGGCCAUUAUUCCAGGCCAUUGGCCAUGCUAGCCUAGAGAAUAAACAGCUUUCUACAAAUGCACUUGCUGUUCAUCCUGCUGUCAACCCAACGGGGAUAUCUGGAGAGGUUGCUCUCUCUCAGCUCUGUCCAUGUGGCGUAUGGGAGCGUAGGCCUUUGGGCUCUGUGACGUAUAGUCCCCUUCCACACCGUUGGAGAGCAAGCUGGGCCCUCGUGGUCUGCAACCUGCAUAUUCCUACUGCUUCUCUGAGUCUUCGGACGGUGACUGAGGAGAUAAACCAUGCAGGAGACAUUCCUCAAGCAAGAUAGGCUUUUGUUUGCAAUACACUUUUCAAAGACACCACAACAGUUUUCUCCUGAUCAUAAAAAUUACAAUCACUUUUAAAGGAUAUUGUGGGGGUGGAGGGUAUGGCACGUAUGUGGGAGUGCAGAUUUGGUCAAGGGUUGCCUGUUGUUGUUUUUUCUUGUUGGGCAAAUGCCCUCCGCUUUCAGAGACCCAAUUCUGAAAGAUAACCCUGCUUUUUAUUCUUAGUGACAGGUAUUCUGCAUUUGCUAUGUCAUGCCGCUAGUUGUAUAUCAUACCUGGGUCCUGAGCAAGGAUGAGGGCUGACUUCUGGAUGUGGUGAGGAUCAGAUGUCUGCACAUCAUGGACACUGGAGCUCCACAAGAGUCAACCAGGUAAAAGGGUUGCUUUGUCCUUCCAGAAGAGAGUUUGCUAAUGUCCUGCUGGCCUGCCUACAACAGUCUUUAUAGUAGCUUGGGAUCAUUAUAUUGGAAGCAGAUAUUAAGCAAGCGUUUUUCCAAUGUGCCAGAUGUUGCUGGGCUACUAUCAUCAUAAUCUCAAUAAACUAUCUCAAUAAACUCUGGUUUAUUGGCUGAGGCUAAUGGGACUUGGAGUCCCAACAAAUAUAAGGUACCACCUUGGGGCAUGCUGGUAAAGAGGCUAGUAACUUCUUAUACUGUAGAAGCACUUUGCAAUUCGUCCUGCCUUCAACCAACGGGGAUAUCUGGAGAGGUUGCUCUCUCUCAGCUCUGUCCAUGUGGCAUAUGGGAGCGUAGGCCUUUGGGCUCUGUGACGUAUAGUCCCCUUCCACACCGUUGGAGAGCAAGCUGGGCCCUCGUGGUCUGCAACCUGCAUAUUCCUACUGCUUCUCUGAGUCUUCGGACGGUGACUGAGGAGAUAAACCAUGCAGGAGACAUGUGCUUGUUUGCUGCUUCGUUCAUAAACCCUUAUUAAAUCUUGUAGAGUUCCUAUUGGGGGAUCUGGUUGGCCACAGGAUGAUGGAUUAGGUGCCAUUUGGCCUGAUCAAUUUUUGCCUUGCUCUUUUUUGAGUUUUGGGUACUAUGGCAUGAGGGAUGUGAAAAAUUAAGGCACAUAAUGGCCUUGUAAGAGGCACGUGCACCAGAGUUUUAUGUCAUAAUUGUGUUAAUAAGCCUAAGCUUGUGGUUCAUGGUUGGAAGAAACUAUGGGGGCCACAGAUAUAUUGAGUUUUACUGUUAAUAUUACGUUUUCAUCCUUACCUAUUCAAGUUUUAUAAACUGCACACUUGGGCUUGUUCAAGUUGGUCCUUGCAUAUUCUCAUAAUUUCAGUGCUUGUGCAGUGACUAGUUCGAAGUCUUUACAUAGGGGUCUGAUUUUUUUUUUUAAUUGGAAUGAUUGAGGUCCUGCUUUUUAUUAGUGCAUGCUUGAUUGAUUUCUCUCCCUCAAUUAUUUUUUCAUUGCUUUCUCCACAAAGUCUCAAAGUGACUCACAAGUCUGUACAAUACAAAAAAGCUUUAAAUCAGUUAAAAUGUGCUGAUUUUAUGUUCAGGAAGCUGAGAACCAGAAACAGCCUGUUGAUGUUUUUGUUUUUAUUUAUCAGGCCAUUUUAAAUUGAAGAAUAACAACCAGGAGAAAAAGAGCUGGAGAAGAUGCUGAGGAUGUAGUCUUGUGAAAGCAUCAGCUAUUUAAGCGUAGGUCAGAAGAGAUCAGAGUCCUACAGAUCAACAGAACAAUCCUGGAGAAAUGGCUACCUUUGGUCUCCACCUUCAGUAUGCCUUCAAGUCUACAAUUCCCAUCAUCCCUGGGUGCCGACUAGGCUGGCGGGAUUCGGAAGGCCCCAACAUUGACAGGGCACUAUGAUGGCUUUUUCUGGCAGCAACAUGAUGGAAGAAAAGCUGCAUUGCUGUGGAUACUAAUGAGCAGGAAUGACCUCCAAAGCCUUAAUGUGGAGAAUUAUCAUCUUGCUUUUUCCCUGAUUAGCAGGUGCUGCCGUAGUGGUAACAAAACAGCAAGAUCUGUGACACACUGCUUGUGUGUUCUGAGCAAAGGUGGUCGAGGGAAACACUUAAAUGGGGACAAAGAUAAUGGUCCAAAACCAAAUUAACCGGUUGGGAUGAAGAGGUUUUCUGCAUUUGCAGAAUUUGACAACUGAUGCAUGCAUGCCUUUUCCCCCUUGCAAGUAACAGCAGCUUGAGAUUUCAAGAACUCCUAUGCUAUUUACCUGUAAGAGAUAGCUUGUUGAACACCAAUAAAGCAUAUUAUUCUGUAA